AGUAAAAAAGUUACAGUAAGCUAAGGCUUAUGUAUUUAUUGAUUUAUUUUCUUUUGAGACGUAGUUUCACUCUUGUUGUCCAACUUUACAGUGUGUCAGAAAACACAUAAAAAUUUUUAACAAAAAAGUCAAAAUGUUUGUUUGAUAAAUGUAUUCAAAGACAGUUUUUGCUAAGGAUAUGUUAAAGCUGACAUUGAAGCCCUGUUAAUUGUGAAUUCCUAGGUCCUUUUCAUGGAGAAGAGGGCCACCAUCCUCCAGAUCCCAGAAUGG
rnacentral:lncRNA from 1 species